UAUCUCUGUAGAGUCUGCAUAUCAAUAAGCGGAGGAAAAGAAACUAACAAGGAUUCCCUUAGUAACGGCGAGUGAAGCGGGAAGAGCUCAAAUUUGAAAUCUUCAAGGUUUCUACCUUGACGAAUUGUAGUUUAAAGAAGUGUUUUCUGUUGGAUGUUUUGGUAAAAGUUCUUUGGAAUAGGACAUCAUAGAGGGUGAGAAUCCCGUAUUUGACCAUUACUUCCAGCGUUGUGAUACACUUUCAAAGAGUCGGAUUGUUUGGGAAUGCAGUCCAAAAUGGGUGGUAAAUUUCAUCUAAGGCUAAAUAUUGGCGAGAGACCGAUAGCGAACAAGUACCGUGAGGGAAAGAUGAAAAGAACUUUGAAAAGAGAGUUAAACAGUACGUGAAAUUGUCAAAAGGGAAGCGUUUGACACCAGUGUUGUUUUCUCGAAAAUCAAUUAAAAAAAGUUGGAUUUUGUAUUGUUAAGACCUUAUCAGCUUACUGUACUCUUUUCUUGCUUUUUUUAAUGCACUUUUCGUUUAACAAGUCAACAUCAAUUUCUUUUGUUGUAAAAGAGUCAUUGGAAGGUGGCUCUCACUUCGGUGAAAGUGUUUAUAGCCUUUGGCUUCUGCAAUCGGAGAGAUUGAGGUCUGCAGCGUAGAUCCUUCGGGGCUAGAUACGUAGAUGCUAAGAUAUAGUUUUUUAUAGACAACUUGUUGACUAUAAUUAAUCAUGUAGCUUACUCGUUUGCGCUAUUUUACCUACGCUUAGGAUGUUGAAGAUGUAGCACAUCAU
rnacentral:rRNA from 1 species